UUUUAGCUCACCUGGCCCGAAGGGCCAAGUGAGCUUUUCUCAUCACUUGGCGUCCGUCGUCCGUCGUCCGGCGUCGUCCGUCGUCGGCGUAAACUUUUUACAUUUUGAACUUCUUCUAGAGAACCACUGAAUGGAAUGAAACCAAACAUGGCAUGAAUGUUCCUUAUGAGGUGCUGACCAAGUGUUGUUACUUUGUAGCCGAUCCAUCAUCCAAGAUGGCCGCCAGCGGGGGACUUAGUUUAACAUAGGACCCUAUGGGAAAUGCAUACAAAUGACUUCUUUUAGAGAACCACUGAAUGGAAUGAAACCAAACAUGGCAUGAAUGUUUCUUAUGAGGUGCUGACCGAGUGUUGUUACUUUGAAGCCGAUCCAUAAUCCAAGAUGGCAGCCAGCGGGGGACUUAGUUUAACAUAGGACCCUAUGGGAAAUGCAUACAAAUGUCUUCUUUUAGAGAACCACUGAAUGGAAUGAAACAAAACAUAGCAUGAAUGUUCAUUACAAGGUGCUGACCAAGUGUUGUUACUUUGUAGUUGAUCCAUCAUCCAAGAUGGCUGCCAGCAGGGGACUUAGUUUAACAUAGGACCCUAUGGGAAAUGCAUACAAAUGACUUCUUUUAGAGAACCACUGAAUGGAAUGAAACAAAACAUAGCAUGAAUGUUCCUUACAAGGUGCUGACCAAGUGUUGUUACUUUGUAGCCGUUCCAUCAUCCAAAAUGGCCGCCAGUGAGGGACUUAGUUUAACAUAGGACCCUAUGAGAAAUACAUACAAAUGUCUUCUUUUAGAGAACCACUGAAUGGAAUGAAACCAAACAUGGCAAGAAUGUUCCUUAUGAGGUGCUGACCAAGUGUUGUUACUUUGAAGCCGAUCCAUCAUCCAAGAUGGCAACCAGCGGGGGACUUAGUUUAACAUAGGAUCCUAUGGAAAUACAUACAAAUGUUUUCUUUUAGAGAACCACUGAAUGCAAUGAAACCAAACAUGGCAUGAAUGUUCCUUAUGAGGUGCUGACCGAGUGUUGUUACUUUGAAGCCGAUCCAUAAUCCAAGAUGGCCGCCAGCGGGGGACUUAGUUUAACAUGGGACCCUAUGGGAAAUACAUACAAACGUCUUCUUUUAGAGAACCACUGAAUGGAAUGAAACCAAACAUGGCAAGAAUGUUCCUUAUGAGGUGCUGACCAAGUGUUGUUACUUUGAAGCCGAUCCAUCAUCCAAGAUGGCAGCCAGCGGGGGACUUAGUUUAACAUAGGAUCCUAUGGGAAAUACAUACAAAUGUUUUCUUUUAGAGAACCACUGAAUGGAAUGAAACCAAACAUGGCAUGAAUGUUCCUUAUGAGGUGCUGACCAAGUGUUGUUACUAUGAAGCCGAUCCAUAAUCUAAGAUGGCCGCCAGCGGAGGACUUAGUUUAACAUAGGACCCUAUGAGAAAUACGUACAAAUGUUUUCUUUUAGAGAACCAUUGAAUGGAAUGAAACCAAACAUUGCAUGCAUGUUCCUUUCGAGGUGCUGACCAAGUGUUGUUACUUUGAAGCUGAUCCUUCAUCUAUGAUGGCUGCCAGAUGGGGACAAUGUUUAACAAAGGACCCUAUGGACAAUACAUACAAAUGUCUUCUUUUAGAGAACCACAUACUGAAUGGAUUGAACCAAACAUGGCAUGAAUGUUCCUUAUGAGGUGCUGACUAAUUUUUGUUACUUUGAAGCUGAUCCUUCAUCCAUGAUGGCCGCCAAUGGGGGGACUUCCUUUAACAUAAGACCCUAUGAGAAAUACAUACAAAUGCUUCUUCUAGAGGUGCACUGAAUGGAAUGAAACCAAAACAUGGCAUAAAUGUUUCUUAUGAGGUGCUGAUUAAGUGUUGCUACUUUGUUGCUGAUUUACUGUUCAAGAUGGCCACCAGGAUUUUUUAUUAAAUUACAGGACCAAUAUUAAACCAAAUUUGGCCUCACUCAUUAUUAGGGUAUCUGUUAUGAUUUUAAUCUAUUUUUACAUGAUUUCCAAAACCAAAGUAGAAUCAGGUGAGCGACACAGGCUCUUGAGAGCCUCUAGUUUUAGUUUCAUGACAAUAACUUGUGUGUUAGUUUAUGGAUCUUUAUGAAAUUGUAUUACAAGGUUCCAUAUCACAAAGGGAAAGCUGGGUUUGAGUUUGGGGGUAAUUGCCCUAAACAUUUAGGAAUUUGGGACCAAAAAGGGGCCUAAAAACAAGCAUUUUUCUAGUUUCCAGACAAUAACUUGUGUUCAAGUGUAUGGAUCUCUCUGAAAUUGUACUUCAAGGUACCAUACCACAAAGGGAAGGCUGGGAUUGAGUUUGGGGGUGAUGAAUCAUAAGGGGGUUCAAAAAAUUUGGGGAAGGGAUUUUUUUUCCUUUUUUUCCUUUUUUUUCUUUAAAAUUUUCCAUUUUAAAUUGGUUAUUUCUGAUUUAUAUAUAAAAGCAAAUAAUAGUGAUAUGGUUUGAAUAGGUAAAUUAAAAUUUUUUAAGUUCUUAGACCACAUUCAUUCUGUGUCAGAAACCUAUGCUGUGUCAAAUAUUUAAUCACAGUCCAAAUUCAGUGCUGUAUCAAGCUUGAAUGUUGUGUCCAUACUUGCCCCAACUGUUCAGGGUUCGAGCUCUGUGGUCGUAUCAAGCUGCGCCCAGCGGAGCAUUUUAUUUUAAUU